GUUAAGCGACUAAGCGUACACGGUGGAUGCCCUGGCAGUCAGAGGCGAUGAAGGACGUGCUAAUCUGCGAUAAGCGUCGGUAAGGUGAUAUGAACCGUUAUAACCGGCGAUUUCCGAAUGGGGAAACCCAGUGUGAUUCGUCACACUAUCAUUAACUGAAUCCAUAGGUUAAUGAGGCGAACCGGGGGAACUGAAACAUCUAAGUACCCCGAGGAAAAGAAAUCAACCGAGAUUCCCCCAGUAGCGGCGAGCGAACGGGGAGCAGCCCAGAGCCUGAAUCAGUGUGUGUGUUAGUGGAAGCGUCUGGAAAGGCGCGCGAUACAGGGUGACAGCCCCGUACACAAAAAUGCACAUGCUGUGAGCUCGAUGAGUAGGGCGGGACACGUGGUAUCCUGUCUGAAUAUGGGGGGACCAUCCUCCAAGGCUAAAUACUCCUGACUGACCGAUAGUGAACCAGUACCGUGAGGGAAAGGCGAAAAGAACCCCGGCGAGGGGAGUGAAAAAGAACCUGAAACCGUGUACGUACAAGCAGUGGGAGCACGCUUAGGCGUGUGACUGCGUACCUUUUGUAUAAUGGGUCAGCGACUUAUAUUCUGUAGCAAGGUUAACCGAAUAGGGGAGCCGAAGGGAAACCGAGUCUUAACUGGGCGUUAAGUUGCAGGGUAUAGACCCGAAACCCGGUGAUCUAGCCAUGGGCAGGUUGAAGGUUGGGUAACACUAACUGGAGGACCGAACCGACUAAUGUUGAAAAAUUAGCGGAUGACUUGUGGCUGGGGGUGAAAGGCCAAUCAAACCGGGAGAUAGCUGGUUCUCCCCGAAAGCUAUUUAGGUAGCGCCUCGUGAAUUCAUCUCCGGGGGUAGAGCACUGUUUCGGCAAGGGGGUCAUCCCGACUUACCAACCCGAUGCAAACUGCGAAUACCGGAGAAUGUUAUCACGGGAGACACACGGCGGGUGCUAACGUCCGUCGUGAAGAGGGAAACAACCCAGACCGCCAGCUAAGGUCCCAAAGUCAUGGUUAAGUGGGAAACGAUGUGGGAAGGCCCAGACAGCCAGGAUGUUGGCUUAGAAGCAGCCAUCAUUUAAAGAAAGCGUAAUAGCUCACUGGUCGAGUCGGCCUGCGCGGAAGAUGUAACGGGGCUAAACCAUGCACCGAAGCUGCGGCAGCGACGCUGAUGCGUUGUUGGGUAGGGGAGCGUUCUGUAAGCCUGUGAAGGUGUGCUGUGAGGCAUGCUGGAGGUAUCAGAAGUGCGAAUGCUGACAUAAGUAACGAUAAAGCGGGUGAAAAGCCCGCUCGCCGGAAGACCAAGGGUUCCUGUCCAACGUUAAUCGGGGCAGGGUGAGUCGACCCCUAAGGCGAGGCCGAAAGGCGUAGUCGAUGGGAAACAGGUUAAUAUUCCUGUACUUGGUGUUACUGCGAAGGGGGGACGGAGAAGGCUAUGUUGGCCGGGCGACGGUUGUCCCGGUUUAAGCGUGUAGGCUGGUUUUCCAGGCAAAUCCGGAAAAUCAAGGCUGAGGCGUGAUGACGAGGCACUACGGUGCUGAAGCAACAAAUGCCCUGCUUCCAGGAAAAGCCUCUAAGCAUCAGGUAACAUCAAAUCGUACCCCAAACCGACACAGGUGGUCAGGUAGAGAAUACCAAGGCGCUUGAGAGAACUCGGGUGAAGGAACUAGGCAAAAUGGUGCCGUAACUUCGGGAGAAGGCACGCUGAUAUGUAGGUGAAGUCCCUCGCGGAUGGAGCUGAAAUCAGUCGAAGAUACCAGCUGGCUGCAACUGUUUAUUAAAAACACAGCACUGUGCAAACACGAAAGUGGACGUAUACGGUGUGACGCCUGCCCGGUGCCGGAAGGUUAAUUGAUGGGGUCAGCGCAAGCGAAGCUCUUGAUCGAAGCCCCGGUAAACGGCGGCCGUAACUAUAACGGUCCUAAGGUAGCGAAAUUCCUUGUCGGGUAAGUUCCGACCUGCACGAAUGGCGUAAUGAUGGCCAGGCUGUCUCCACCCGAGACUCAGUGAAAUUGAACUCGCUGUGAAGAUGCAGUGUACCCGCGGCAAGACGGAAAGACCCCGUGAACCUUUACUAUAGCUUGACACUGAACAUUGAGCCUUGAUGUGUAGGAUAGGUGGGAGGCUUUGAAGUGUGGACGCCAGUCUGCAUGGAGCCGGCCUUGAAAUACCACCCUUUAAUGUUUGAUGUUCUAACGUUGACCCGUGAUCCGGGUUGCGGACAGUGUCUGGUGGGUAGUUUGACUGGGGCGGUCUCCUCCUAAAGAGUAACGGAGGAGCACGAAGGUUGGCUAAUCCUGGUCGGACAUCAGGAGGUUAGUGCAAUGGCAUAAGCCAGCUUGACUGCGAGCGUGACGGCGCGAGCAGGUGCGAAAGCAGGUCAUAGUGAUCCGGUGGUUCUGAAUGGAAGGGCCAUCGCUCAACGGAUAAAAGGUACUCCGGGGAUAACAGGCUGAUACCGCCCAAGAGUUCAUAUCGACGGCGGUGUUUGGCACCUCGAUGUCGGCUCAUCACAUCCUGGGGCUGAAGUAGGUCCCAAGGGUAUGGCUGUUCGCCAUUUAAAGUGGUACGCGAGCUGGGUUUAGAACGUCGUGAGACAGUUCGGUCCCUAUCUGCCGUGGGCGCUGGAGAACUGAGGGGGGCUGCUCCUAGUACGAGAGGACCGGAGUGGACGCAUCACUGGUGUUCGGGUUGUCAUGCCAAUGGCACUGCCCGGUAGCUAAAUGCGGAAGAGAUAAGUGCUGAAAGCAUCUAAGCACGAAACUUGCCCCGAGAUGAGUUCUCCCUGACUCCUUGAGAGUCCUGAAGGAACGUUGAAGACGACGACGUUGAUAGGCCGGGUGUGUAAGCGCAGCGAUGCGUUGAGCUAACCGGUACUAAUGAACCGUGAGG
rnacentral:rRNA from 1 species